AAACGAACGCCUGGCGGCGUGGAUAAGAACAUGCAAGUCGAACGAGAGAAUUCGCUAGCUCGCUAAUAAUUCUCUAGUGGCGCACGGGUGAGUAACACGUGAGUAACCUGCCCCCCGAGAGCGGGAUAGCCCUGGGAAACUGGGAUUAAUACCGCAUAGUAUCGAAAGAUUAAAGCAGCAAUGCGCUUGGGGAUGGGCUCGCGGCCUAUUAGUUAGUUGGUGAGGUAACGGCUCACCAAGGCGAUGACGGGUAGCCGGUCUGAGAGGAUGUCCGGCCACACUGGAACUGAGACACGGUCCAGACACCUACGGGUGGCAGCAGUCGAGAAUCAUUCACAAUGGGGGAAACCCUGAUGGUGUGACGCCGCGUGGGGGAAUGAAGGUCUUCGGAUUGUAAACCCCUGUCAUGUGGGAGCAAAUUAAAAAGAUAGUACCACAAGAGGAAGAGACGGCUAACUCUGUGCCAGCAGCCGCGGUAAUACAGAGGUCUCAAGCGUUGUUCGGAAUCACUGGGCGUAAAGCGUGCGUAGGCUGUUUCGUAAGUCGUGUGUGAAAGGCGCGGGCUCAACCCGCGGACGGCACAUGAUACUGCGAGACUAGAGUAAUGGAGGGGGAACCGGAAUUCUCGGUGUAGCAGUGAAAUGCGUAGAUAUCGAGAGGAACACUCGUGGCGAAGGCGGGUUCCUGGACAUUAACUGACGCUGAGGCACGAAGGCCAGGGGAGCGAAAGGGAUUAGAUACCCCUGUAGUCCUGGCAGUAAACGGUGCACGCUUGGUGUGCGGGGAAUCGACCCCCUGCGUGCCGGAGCUAACGCGUUAAGCGUGCCGCCUGGGGAGUACGGUCGCAAGAUUAAAACUCAAAGAAAUUGACGGGGACCCGCACAAGCGGUGGAGUAUGUGGCUUAAUUCGAUGCAACGCGAAGAACCUUACCUGGGCUUGACAUGUAAUGAACAACAUGUGAAAGCAUGCGACUCUUCGGAGGCGUUACACAGGUGCUGCAUGGCCGUCGUCAGCUCGUGUCGUGAGAUGUUUGGUUAAGUCCAGCAACGAGCGCAACCCCUGUUGCCAGUUACCAGCACGUGAAGGUGGGGACUCUGGCGAGACUGCCCAGAUCAACUGGGAGGAAGGUGGGGACGACGUCAGGUCAGUAUGGCCCUUAUGCCCAGGGCUGCACACGUACUACAAUGCCCAGUACAGAGGGGGCCGAAGCCGCGAGGCGGAGGAAAUCCUGAAAACUGGGCCCAGUUCGGACUGUAGGCUGCAACCCGCCUACACGAAGCCGGAAUCGCUAGUAAUGGCGCAUCAGCUACGGCGCCGUGAAUACGUUCCCGGGUCU
rnacentral:rRNA from 1 species